rnacentral:lncRNA from 1 species
UCAGUAUCUGUAGCAUUUCAGUUGUUAGGGCCUGUUUUGUUCUUUUGAUCGGUUUUAUAAUUUCUGUACUAUCCCAUUGUAUGUGGAAGUCAUUAUUCUACUGCUAGUACCAUAGUCAAUUUCCCCUUAGCUAUAUCUUUAUAUUCUAUCUUUUGAGACAGGUUCGAAUGGUGACCCCUAUGUAUGAUGCUGAAUGUUGUGUCAUUACUUCUUUCACUGGUCUCUUAUAUACCCUUUGCUUUUCUAUGUCUUUUAGGGGGGUCUUUUUUGUUUCUAAGUAAGCUGAAGACUGUCGGUCCCCUCUGCAUCGCUAAUUUUUUGUUCAUCUUCUUGACAAUCUUAUCUACAAAGUUAAGCUUACUUAGGUUAUAUGGUACUGGCAUAUAAUCAUCCUGUUGUCUUGGUUGACAAGUUCUCUGUAUCUGGUUAUUG